AGGGUGUAAACGCUGCAGACUUGGUGUUGGAAGUCCUUUGGGGGCAUUCAGUGCCGGAGAGAAGUUGUUAAGUCUGCUACUUGGGGAGUACGUCCGCAAGGAUGAAACUUAAAGGAAUUGGCGGGGGAGCACCGCAACGGGAGGAGCGUGCGGUUUAAUUGGAUUCAACACCGUAAACUCACCAGGGAAGACUGUUACAUGAAAGCCGAGAUGAAGACUCUGCUAGAUUUUCAGAGAGGUGGUGCAUGGCGUCAGUGACU
rnacentral:rRNA from 1 species